ACCCCUUUAGUAUUAAUCAGUACAAUUGACUUCCAAUCAAUUAGCCCUAGAUCAAACCUAGGAAGGAGUA
rnacentral:tRNA from 1 species